CAAAGAGUAAGUUUUAGAUUUCUUUAUUGUCUAUUUAUAUCUAUAUAUCUCUCUCUCUUUAAUGGGACACUACAAUGAAAGAUUUUUUAUCUUUUUGUAAGGGAGUAAUAUAAGGCAGAGGAUUAAAAGUGUUGUAGGGAUUCAGAAUUAGAUACACUAUUAGAUAUGGCUAAAGUUUAGACUCCAUUUACUCAUUUGUCUAUUUUCUUUUUGCUACUCAAAAUAUAUAUAAAUAGUUCAAAAGGGAAAAUUAUCCCAGGGGCCUGGGAAAGCAGGCUGUCCCUAUCUCUUUCUUGUUCAAAAUUAAGAGUCAGACCUUGUGGUUUUUCUAAUCUGAUACAAUGAGGGGAUCUCCCAACAUUCCAGAGAGUCUUGUGGCUCUUCCUUAUAUUCUUCAUUCACCAAAGUUGCCCAAUAGUUUUCAUUAAUAAUGUUUUUAUCCUCUGCUUCUUCAAUUAUUACACUCUCUCAAACCUUAGUGUCUUACUCAGUUGUCAUGAUCCUCUGGCAUUACAGGUAGGAAUAAACUAUUCUUAACUUAUCUUCUGGUUUUUCUUCCCUGUAAAGGUUCAAUUAAAUCUAAAACCCAUAAAGACAUGAAACAGGAAUUGGAGAGGGCAGGAGAGACACAUUCUCACGUGUCAGGAAGUGAGGCUGGUGUAGGAGCUGUCACCCAUAUCCCCGACCAUGGAGAACCAGGAAAAAUCAUGACAUCACUGACUAGUGGCCUCCUGAUCCGGGAAUCCACUGUAUAUGCUAUAGGUAAGAAAAUGUAUUUUCUUUCUAUUAUACUGGUAUUUAUCCUUGCUUUGGGCACUUGUUUUCAAUUUUGAGAUAUGGAGUCAUCUUCAUAGUCUGAGAACAGGACAAUCACUGAUGGGGGAAGUUUGUCAUUAGGUUGUAAGAUUUGACAAUUUCCUCUGGCCUAUUACUUUCUGCCCUAACAUAGGCUGUGAUAGCAGCCUUUGGAUGAAGAUCUCAUGGGGGAUUUUGCCUUUUGUUUGUUUGGGUGUAUACAUAUAAUAGCCUAUUCAUUUUCUUUUAUUAUUUCUCAACUGGGGAAUAGCUCUUCUAAAAAUAAUUUUGUUAAUUUAUAAAACAUAUAAAUUCAUAAUAUGUAUCACAUAUUAUAUAUGAUACAUAAAUUUUAUACCUGUCCCCUCCAAUGUAAUAAACAAAUAAAAAAUAAGUGACA
rnacentral:lncRNA from 1 species